rnacentral:rRNA from 1 species
UACGUAGGGGGCAAGCGUUGUCCGGAAUUACUGGGCGUAAAGCGCGUGUAGGCGGUCCGGUAAGUCCGCUCUGAAAGUCCGGGGCUCAACCCCGGGAGGCGGGCGGAUACUGUCGGGCUAGAGUCCGGAAGAGGCGAGUGGAAUUCCUGGUGUAGCGGUGAAAUGCGCAGAUAUCAGGAGGAACACCAAUGGCGAAGGCAGCUCGCUGGGACGGUACUGACGCUGAGGCGCGAAAGCGUGGGGAGCAAACAGG